rnacentral:rRNA from 1 species
AACGAACGCUGGCGGCAUGCCUAACACAUGCAAGUCGAACGAGACCUUCGGGUCUAGUGGCGCACGGGUGCGUAACGCGUGGGAAUCUGCCCUUGGGUUCGGAAUAACAGUUGGAAACGACUGCUAAUACCGGAUGAUGACGUAAGUCCAAAGAUUUAUCGCCCAAGGAUGAGCCCGCGUAGGAUUAGCUAGUUGGUGAGGUAAAGGCUCACCAAGGCGACGAUCCUUAGCUGGUCUGAGAGGAUGAUCAGCCACACUGGGACUGAGACGCGGCCCAGACUCCUACGGGAGGCAGCAGUGGGGAAUAUUGGACAAUGGGCGAAAGCCUGAUCCAGCAAUGCCGCGUGAGUGAUGAAGGCCUUAGGGUUGUAAAGCUCUUUUACCCGGGAUGAUAAUGACAGUACCGGGAGAAUAAGCUCCGGCUAACUCCGUG